rnacentral:lncRNA from 1 species
AAACCGGAUAAGUCUCCAUAUGAAGUUGACAGCGAAUUCAAAACAAAGUCUGAAUGCGUCGAAGAAGCUACAACAAAGUCGGAUAGCUGAGAAAUAGUCACAAGUGACGUUGAGGGACAACCCUCACCAACGAGAAAAACCGAAGUAGUCUCGAUUGCACUUUCUGGCCCCGUACAGACCGCUACGCAAAGUAACAAACCGGUGAGUAAGUUGAAACAAGGACUCAGCAGAGAAUCCGAGAGAGCAUCUCUGUUCAUAGAAGGGAGGCAUAGUUGUGAAAAACUCUCCUCGUUUGAGGAGGAUGAUGAAACCCAUACCAGAGUUGGUGAACCC